GAUGAACGCUAGCUACAGGCUUAACACAUGCAAGUCGAGGGGCAGCGGGAAAGUAGCUUGCUACUUUUGCCGGCGAGCGGCGGACGGGUGAGUAAUGCUUAGGAAUCUGCCAUUUAGUGGGGGACAACAUUCCGAAAGGAAUGCUAAUACCGCAUACGUCCUACGGGAGAAAGCAGGGGAUCUUCGGACCUUGCGCUAAAUGAUGAGCCUAAGUCGGAUUAGCUAGUUGGUGGGGUAAAGGCCUACCAAGGCGACGAUCUGUAGCGGGUCUGAGAGGAUGAUCCGCCACACUGGGACUGAGACACGGCCCAGACUCCUACGGGAGGCAGCAGUGGGGAAUAUUGGACAAUGGGCGGAAGCCUGAUCCAGCCAUGCCGCGUGUGUGAAGAAGGCCUUUUGGUUGUAAAGCACUUUAAGCGAGGAGGAGGCUACUAGUAUUAAUACUACUGGAUAGUGGACGUUACUCGCAGAAUAAGCACCGGCUAACUCUGUGCCAGCCGCCGCAGUAAUAC
rnacentral:rRNA from 1 species